rnacentral:rRNA from 1 species
UACGGAGGGUGCAAGCGUUAUCCGGAUUUACUGGGUUUAAAGGGUGCGUAGGUGGGCAGGUAAGUCAGUGGUGAAAUCUCCGGGCUUAACCCGGAAACUGCCAUUGAUACUAUCUGUCUUGAAUUUCCUGGAGGUAAGCGGAAUAUGUCAUGUAGCGGUGAAAUGCUUAGAUAUGACAUAGAACACCUAUUGCGAAGGCAGCUUACUACACAGAUAUUGACGCUCAUGCACGAAAGCGGUGGGGAUCAAACAGGA